rnacentral:rRNA from 1 species
GGGUGACCUGCCUUCAGCGUUUGGUAACCGUCCCGAAAGGGACGCUAAUACCGCAUAACAUCCUGCCUUUGAAGAGGCGGUGAUCAAAGCUGGGGAUCGCAAGACCUAGCACUCGAAGAGGGGCCCGCGUCCGAUUAGCUAGUUGGUGGGGUAAUGGCCCACCAAGGCAACGAUCGGUAGCCGGCCUGAGAGGGCGGACGGCCACACUGGGACUGAGACACGGCCCAGACUCCUACGGGAGGCAGCAGUGGGGAAUUGUUCGCAAUGGGCGCAAGCCUGACGACGCAACGCCGCGUGGAGGAUGAAGAUCUUCGGGUCGUAAACUCCUUUCGAUCGAGACGAAUUCCUCCGGGGUGAACAAUCCCGGANGUUUGACGGUACCGAGAGAAGAAGCCCCGGCUAACUCCGUGCCAGCAGCCGCGGUAAUACNGGGGGGGNCAAGCGUUGUUCGGAAUUACUGGGCGUUAAAGGGCUCGUAGGUGGCCAACUAAGUCGGAACGUGAAAUCCCUCGGCUUAACCGGGGAACUGCGUCCGAUACUGGUUGGCUUGAGUUUGGGAAAAGGGAUGCGGAAUUCCAGUUUACGNUGAAUGCGUA